UACGUAGGGUGCGAGCGUUAAUCGGAAUUACUGGGCGUAAAGCGUGCGCAGGCGGUUCGUUGUGUCCGAUGUGAAAGCCCCGAGCUUAACUUGGGAAUGGCAUUGGAAACUGGCGGGCUGGAGUGUGGCAGAGGGGGGUGGAAUUCCACGUGUAGCAGUGAAAUGCGUAGAGAUGUGGAGGAACACCGAUGGCGAAGGCAGCCCCCUGGGCCAACACUGACGCUCAGGCACGAAAGCGUGGGGAGCAAACAGG
rnacentral:rRNA from 1 species